rnacentral:lncRNA from 1 species
GAGCAUUCCCAGGGUUUGACACUGAAUGCCUGCCUCAAGUUCCUGUAGCAUCUCCAGAAUCAUUUUAAUUGUUUGGC